CCUUUUUGCUGCUGAUUUCCUGGGACUUCCCAUAUCUGCUUUGGCCUGUUUUGAUUUCUUUAGGCAUCUCUGUAUGCAUUCAUGCAAAUUACACAGAAAGCCUAAGGGUUUUAUUAAUCAGGGGCAGCUGACUCUGUAAUAAACAAGCCCAAAUUGAAAUGGCUUAACAGAAAUGAGCAAUUCAAAUGCCUGCUUUGCCGGUUGGUGACUCUUCCGAGCAUCUCUGUAGGUCACAGAGUUCCCAGCUUGCUCUUCCAUCCAGUUAGGGGAGGUUCUCAGGCACAAGCCCUAGGUCAUGUACUCUUGCCCAUUUCCCUGGCCUGGAACUUAGUCACCCAGUCCCAUAUCCCUCCAAGAGAAGCUGGAGAUGCCUGGCCCAGGAGUCAGAGGAAGUGAGGUUUGGAGGCAGGCCUCCACAUCCCUGCAUUAGAUGGCUGUUAACACUUGUUUUGCUGCCAGUGGUGAUGGAAAGGUCUGCCUGUGUUUCCUCCCCUGAUGUCACUUCAGUAAAGAGUAUUCGAAGCAAUGAAGUGUGUGGACAACCAUACCAUCAGAGAAGAGCCAGUUCACCGGUCUUCAGCUGACACUGGUUUUCAUCUGCCUCCUCUGCCUCCACCGUCCCCUCUCUCCUUGUCUGCACCCUGCCAGGAGGCUGAGGGUCGCUCCUUAAGGAGGAAGGUUUUCUCCAAAGGGCUUCAAAUCCAAGAUGAACGGUCCUCAGUCAGCCAUCAGAUCCCUUGCUAUAAGACAAAGGACUGAAAGCUGACAGUGGCCAAGUUCUUCCUACUGUCCAGGGUAAGUUCCCAGGAGCAGACAUGCAACCUGAAUGGUCCUUAAUGACCCACCAGUGUGUACCUGCACCCAGCCCACGGCAGGACCAUCAGUUCCACUGAACAAAAACAACCUGAAUUGGAAUUUCAUGAUCCAUCCAAUUCAAGGCAGGACCAUCAGUUCUACUGAACAAAUGAUGACCUGAAUUUGAAUUUCAAGAUUAGCAUGGAAGUUGACAUCUUAUGAUUACUGAGUUUUUGUGAAUUGUUCUUCUUAGUGUUCUUUUAUUUUAUUAUUUUUUAAAAGUAUAUAUGUGCACAUGUGUGUCAAGCCCACAGAGGCCAGAAGUAGGUGUCAGAUCCCCUGGAGCUGGAGUUAUAGGCAGUUGUGAGCUGCUCAAAGUAAAUGCUAGAAUUUAACUUAGGUCCUUGAAAGAGCAGCAAGUACUCUUAACUGCUGAGCUAUCUUUCCAUCCCCCUAAGAGUUUCUCUUAAAUCUUUGCCCAUCUUAUGAGUUGUCAAUAUUUUGUAAAUGUUAUUUACAUAUCUUUAUUUAGAUAAAUGUUUCUACAUAUCCUUAUAUAUCAUGGGACACAUAUGCAUCCAUAUAGUAAAGGAUUAUUUUAAUGUUGUGUGUACAGGCAUUUUACCUGUAUGUAUGUAUAUGCACCACAAGUGUGCAGUUCCUGCAGGCACCAGAAGAGGGCAUUAGAUCCCCUGAAACUAGAGGUACAGGUGGUUGUUGAGUAUGAGUCCUCUGCAAGAAAACCUAGUGUUCGUAACUGCUGAGCCAUCUCUCCAACCCCUAGUUUUAUUUCUAGUUUUGCAUUUAUCUUUUAAAUAUAUUUAGGAAAAUUUUUUUCUAGACAGAACUUUAUCAAUAAUACUGAUUUAGUAUCUGGAAAAUUUUUGUUUUAUGGUUUUAUGACUUAAAGUUGUGCUCAAAAAGGUGUUUCAAAUGGAAGAUGAUUUGUUCUCCAGUACCUUAGGUCAGGGUGUUUUACAUUUAGUUAUUUAAUUAGUCUGUAAAUGCUCUUGUGAGUAGUAAAAAGUAAUUAUGGAUGCUAUAUUUCAAACAUGUCUCCAAAUAUUCUGACCCCACUUACUUUGUAAAAACUUCUCCCCCACCUAAUGCAGCUGGCACUUUACACACUCAGCCCCUGUGCACCUGCAUGCAUGCUUAUUUUUAUGUACUUUAUUUUUGUCCUUUCAGCAACUGUUCUUUUUAGUGCCUCUUUCAUAUGGCUUUCAUCUCAGUAGCUUUAGAAUACUUUGAGCAUGUGAAGAAUAAAAUUUCUCAGAAUUUCUCCUCUUUUGCAAAAAUGAGAAUCAAUUUGCCAUGUCAGAAUGUUAAGGAUCCAUUUAGCUUCUUAUCUGAGUUAAAUUAAAUUGACAACUAAUUUGGGAAGAGAUGACAUCUUUACACUAUUAAAUCUUCCCAUCUAAAGACUCCCUGUAUCUCUUUAAUUCAAAUAUUUAAGCAUCUUCUAUGUACUUUAGUAUAAUUAUGUAAUUUUAGAUGUCUGAUGUGUUCUUCAUUUAUUGCUAGAUCAUGGUUAAGCAUGCUCUCUGAAUAAUGUUUGAAAUAUUUCUCUAAAAAGAGUUUUUACUAAUAAAUUAUUACCAAUGUAGGAAGCCUAUUGACUUGAUAAUUUAAUAUAAAUGUAACCUGUCUUACGGAAUUCACUGUUUACAAAUCUGAUGUCUUUGUUUGGGUGCUUCAGUUACUUCAUCAUCUAUAACAAUGGCAAUUUCUCUCUCCCUUUUUUUUAAAGGUUUUAAAGUCUCUCUCUCUCUCUCUCUCUCUCUCUCUCUCUCUCUCUCUCUCUCUGUGUGUGUGUGUGUGUGUGUGUGUGUGUGUAUGAAAGCCACAUGUGAGGUACUUUCAUAAGCUAGAAGAAAUCACUGGAUCCCUUAGAGCUAGGGUCACAGGCGAUUGUGGUCCAUCCCAUGUGGAUACUAGGAACUGAACCUGGGUCCUCUGGAAGAGCAGCCAGUGCUCUUUGUUGCUGAGUCAUCUCUCCAGCUGGGUUUUCUCUCUUUAUUUGCAAAGAUGGCUUGGUUAUUUUUUUCAUUUUAGACUUAUUUAUCUUCUUUUCUGUGUAUGAAUGUUUUGGGUGAGUGUGUAUAUGUGUGUUCCUGGUGCUGUGGAGGGCAUAAGAGGGCAUGGGAUCACCCUGAAACUAGAGUGGCAGAUAGCUGGGAAUUACCACACGGUUUCUGGGAAUUGAACUCAGGUCCUUUGCAAGAACAGCCAGUGCUCUUAACCACUGAGCAAUCUCUUCAACCCCAUGGUUCAGACAUUUUAUGGUAGAUAAUGUUAUCAAGUUUGUAAACUCACUUUAUUCUCCUAGUUUAUCAAGAACAAAAUUUGAAUCAUGCCAAAGAAUUUAAUAUCAACUAUCAUAACUAUGUUUUUUAACCUAUUAGUAUAACUUAGUGGAUUUCACCUUAUAUUUUAUUUAUUUAUUUAUUUAUUUAUUUACUUACUUACUUACUUACUUACUUACUUAUACUGCUGGGGAUUAAACCCAAGGCCUUGCACAAGCUAAAUAAAAGCUCUGCUACUGAGUCACACCCCUUAAUUUUAAAUUAAUGGAUUUCUAACAACAAGCCUGUCUCAGAUUCUCAUGUUAUUUUUUAAUAUUUUAAUGCAUUGCUAUGCUGAAAUUGCCAAUAAUUUAUUUACAGUAUUUAUCUUCCAUACUUUAGUCUGCAUUUCUUGUUAUCUUUUAGAUUUUAGUAGCAGCACUAACAAGUCUC
rnacentral:lncRNA from 1 species